UACAGAGGGGGCAAGCGUUGUUCGGAAUUACUGGGCGUAAAGGGCGCGUAGGCGGCCUUUCUAAGUCGAACGUGAAAUCCCCGGGCUCAACCCGGGAACUGCGUCCGAUACUGGAAGGCUUUGAAUCCGGGAGAGGGAUGCGGAAUUUCCAGGUGUAGCGGUGAAAUGCGUAGAUAUCUGGAGGAACACCGGUGGCGAAGGCGGCAUCCUGGACCGGUAUUGACGCUGAGGCGCGAAAGCCAGGGGAGCAAACGGGG
rnacentral:rRNA from 1 species